AGGCAACUCUGAACCAGCCAUGCCGCGUGCAGGAAGACAGCCCUCUGGGUCGUAAACUGCUUUUAUUCGGGAAUAAACCUACUUACGUGUAAGUAGCUGAAUGUACCGAAGGAAUAAGGAUCGGCUAACUCCGUGCCAGCAGCCGCGGUAAUACGGAGGAUCCAAGCGUUAUCCGGAUUUAUUGGGUUUAAAGGGUGCGUAGGCGGCUUUUUAAGUCAGGGGUGAAAGACGGUAGCUCAACUAUCGCAGUGCCCUUGAUACUGAAGAGCUUGAAUGAACUAGAGGUAGGCGGAAUGUGACAAGUAGCGGUGAAAUGCAUAGAUAUGUCACAGAACACCGAUUGCGAAGGCAGCUUACUAUGGUUUUAUUGACGCUGAGGCACGAAAGCGUGGGGAUCAAACAGGAUUAGAUACCCUGGUAGUCCACGCCCUAAACGAUGAAUACUCGCUGUUAGCGAUACACAGUUAGCGGCUAAGCGAAAGCGUUAAGUAUUCCACCUGGGGAGUACGGUCGCAAGAUUGAAACUCAAAGGAAUUGACGGGGGCCCGCACAAGCGGAGGAGCAUGUGGUUUAAUUCGAUGAUACGCGAGGAACCUUACCCGGGCUUGAAAGUUAGUGAAUCAUUUAGAGAUAGAUGAGUGAGCAAUCACACGAAACUAGGUGCUGCAUGGCUGUCGUCAGCUCGUGCCGUGAGGUGUUGGGUUAAGUCCCGCAACGAGCGCAACCCCUAUGUUUAGUUGCCAGCACGUUAAGGUGGGGACUCUAAACAGACUGCCUGUGCAAACAGAGAGGAAGGAGGGGACGACGUCAAGUCAUCAUGGCCCUUACGUCCGGGGCUACACACGUGCUACAAUGGAUGGUACAGAGGGCAGCAAGCU
rnacentral:rRNA from 1 species